rnacentral:rRNA from 1 species
AACGAACGCUGGCGGCAUGCCUAACACAUGCAAGUCGAACGAACCCUUCGGGGUUAGUGGCGCACGGGUGCGUAACGCGUGGGAAUCUGCCCUUUGCUUCGGAAUAACAGUUAGAAAUGACUGCUAAUACCGGAUGAUGUCUUCGGACCAAAGAUUUAUCGGCAAGGGAUGAGCCCGCGUAGGAUUAGGUAGUUGGUGGGGUAAAGGCCUACCAAGCCGACGAUACUUAGCUGGUCUGAGAGGAUGAUCAGCCACACUGGGGCUGAGACACGGCCCAGACUCCAACGGGAGGCAGCAGUGGGGAAUAUUGGACAAUGGGCGCAAGCCUGAUCCAGCACGGCCGCGUGAGUGAUGAAGGCCUUCGGGUCGUAAAGCUCUUUUACCAGGGAUGAUAAUGACAGUACCUGGAGAAUAAGCUCCGGCUAACUCCGUGCCAGCCGCCGCGGUAAAAC